rnacentral:rRNA from 1 species
GACAGAGGGUGCAAACGUUGUUCGGAAUUACUGGGCGUAAAGCGCGUGUAGGCGGCUAUGUAAGUCGGGCGUGAAAUCCCACGGCUCAACCGUGGAAGUGCACUCGAAACUGCAUAGCUAGAGUCCUGGAGAGGAAGGUGGAAUGCUUGGUGUAGAGGUGAAAUUCGUAGAUAUCAAGCGGAACACCGGUGGCGAAGGCGGCCUUCUGGACAGUGACUGACGCUGAGACGCGAAAGCGUGGGGAGCAAACAGGG